ensembl:lncRNA
CUAGUACGCCUGUGUCUAACUAUGUCGAUAGUUGUGGAGAUGCGGUACUGCUUAAUGCUCCACUCAAAAGAACGAGGCCUGUUUUAGGCUUGAGAGACCGGAGUGCCGGGGAUUCAUUCACCCACGUUGGCGAAUACGGCUUGGAGUAUGUAAUAUCAUGGGUCGAUGGCUGUGUUAUUUUGAAAGUUAAAGAUUGUGCUACAGAGUGGCGGAUGAACGUUCACGAGUGGAAUUUUUUCUUGGAGAAUUUAUGCCCCAUGCUAGACGGCGACGAGGGUACAUGGCAUGGGGGACCCCAUGAAUACCGUUGGACCUUUCAGUAUGAUCCGAGGAUUCAACAUCGUUUGGCAUGCGCCUUUCAGUAUGAAUCGAGGAUUCAUCGCAUGGAUGCAAACUAUCAUACGAAGAGACCACAGGAUUUCAUUUUUUUCAGACGCGGUGUUGAUACAGACGAGCUACCACAGUGCUAUGAUAUGCAUUGCAUCGGUAGCUCUCCUCUACGCGCCAGUGUUUUAGAAGCUGCUGAUUAUUUUGAUAAUGUCUUUUUCAUGCAGUGGGCUGAUCUGUCUGCACUACGUGGAAUUUUUGCAGAGAUUGAUUCUUUGGCUAAGACGAAUGAAGAACCAUGGAGCACAACUGAUGAUGAAUGCCGAAUGUGCCUGUUUGAGUCGUCUGGGUUUGAUGAUGGGGUACAUGCACAGGUCAAUGAUGAACAUGUUCAAGGUGGGGGUGUGGCUAUGGAGACUGCUGAUUUAAAGGCUGUGCAACCCGGACCCCACUGGCUUCAAGAGUAUGCCGUCUAUCUGACCGGAUUGAAUC